rnacentral:tRNA from 1 species
GUGUGGCUUAGUGGUAGAGUGCUUGCCUAGCAUGCAUGAAGCCCUGGGUUCGAUUCCUCAGUAC